rnacentral:rRNA from 1 species
UACGAAGGGGGCGAGCGUUGUUCGGAUUUACUGGGCGUAAAGGGCGCGCAGGCGGCUCAUCUUGUCAGGCGUGAAAGCCCCGGGCUUAACCUGGGAGGUGCGUUUGAUACGGAUGGGCUAGAGUUCGGGAGAGGAGCGCGGAAUUCCCAGUGUAGAGGUGAAAUUCGUAGAUAUUGGGAAGAACACCAAAGGCGAAGGCAGUGUCCUGGGUGGUCGCUGACGCUGAGAGGCGAAAGCCAGGGGAGCGAACGGG